UUCUCUGCAACUCGAGAACAUGAAGUUGGAAUCGCUAGUAAUCGCGGAUCAGCAUGCCGCGGUGAAUACGUUCCCGGGUCUUGUACACACCGCCCGUCACGCCAUGGGAGUUGGUUCUGCCUGACGGCGUUGAGGUAACCCGCAAGGGAGCCUGGCGACCACGGUAGGGUCAGCGACUGGGGCGAAGUCGUAACAAGGUAGC
rnacentral:rRNA from 1 species